rnacentral:rRNA from 1 species
GAUAAACGCUGGCGGCGUGCCUAAUACAUGCAAGUCGAGCGAACGGACGAGAAGCUUGCUUCUCUGAUGUUAGCGGCGGACGGGUGAGUAACACGUGGAUAACCUACCUAUAAGACUGGGAUAACUUCGGGAAACCGGAGCUAAUACCGGAUAAUAUUUUGAACCGCAUGGUUCAAAAGUGAAAGACGGUCUUGCUGUCACUUAUAGAUGGAUCCGCGCUGCAUUAGCUAGUUGGUAAGGUAACGGCUUACCAAGGCAACGAUGCAUAGCCGACCUGAGAGGGUGAUCGGCCACACUGGAACUGAGACACGGUCCAGACUCCUACGGGAGGCAGCAGUAGGGAAUCUUCCGCAAUGGGCGAAAGCCUGACGGAGCAACGCCGCGUGAGUGAUGAAGGUCUUCGGAUCGUAAAACUCUGUUAUUAGGGAAGAACAUAUGUGUAAGUAACUGUGCACAUCUUGACGGUACCUAAUCAGAAAGCCACGGCUAACUACGUGCCAGCAGCCGCGGUAAUACGUAGGUGGCAAGCGUUAUCCGGAAUUAUUGGGCGUAAAGCGCGCGUAGGCGGUUUUUUAAGUCUGAUGUGAAAGCCCACGGCUCAACCGUGGAGGGUCAUUGGAAACUGGAAAACUUGAGUGCAGAAGAGGAAAGUGGAAUUCCAUGUGUAGCGGUGAAAUGCGCAGAGAUAUGGAGGAACACCAGUGGCGAAGGCGACUUUCUGGUCUGUAACUGACGCUGAUGUGCGAAAGCGUGGGGAUCAAACAGGAUUAGAUACCCUGGUAGUCCACGCCGUAAACGAUGAGUGCUAAGUGUUAGGGGGUUUCCGCCCCUUAGUGCUGCAGCUAACGCAUUAAGCACUCCGCCUGGGGAGUACGACCGCAAGGUUGAAACUCAAAGGAAUUGACGGGGACCCGCACAAGCGGUGGAGCAUGUGGUUUAAUUCGAAGCAACGCGAAGAACCUUACCAAAUCUUGACAUCCUUUGACAACUCUAGAGAUAGAGCCUUCCCCUUCGGGGGACAAAGUGACAGGUGGUGCAUGGUUGUCGUCAGCUCGUGUCGUGAGAUGUUGGGUUAAGUCCCGCAACGAGCGCAACCCUUAAGCUUAGUUGCCAUCAUUAAGUUGGGCACUCUAAGUUGACUGCCGGUGACAAACCGGAGGAAGGUGGGGAUGACGUCAAAUCAUCAUGCCCCUUAUGAUUUGGGCUACACACGUGCUACAAUGGACAAUACAAAGGGCAGCGAAACCGCGAGGUCAAGCAAAUCCCAUAAAGUUGUUCUCAGCUCGGAUUGUAGUCUGCAACUCGACUACAUGAAGCUGGAAUCGCUAGUAAUCGUAGAUCAGCAUGCUACGGUGAAUACGUUCCCGGGUCU